rfam:Spinacia oleracea cultivar SynViroflay scaffold31972.con0002.1, whole genome shotgun sequence.
AUGCUGUGAUGUUGACAUUCCCUUUAAUAUUCCUUGAACCUAUCCCACACCUCAAACAACGACUCAUCUCGAUUUUGCUCAAACGAUUGGAUCUUAUGCCUAUACUC